rnacentral:lncRNA from 1 species
UUUGGAACUUGGAGAAGCUCCCUUACCCUUUAUAAGCCAGCAGAAAGAAGUAUGAUUGUCAAGACCCCAGACAGAAUGGCAGGUAAAAGAAACAGCUGCUGCUAUCCAGAGUAAAUCAGUCACAAAGAAACCUGCUCCUCAUUCUGUCUCCUGGUUUCCCAUAAAUGCCUGAAGCCCAGCCUUGUAGUUGGAGUUACUGGGACAAAGGGUACUUCAAAUUCGAAUACACUACCAAACUUUACUUCAGAAACGGUGUGAAGAUUUUUUAAUCAACAAGGUCUUACAUCACACAGCGG